CAAAUGGUCAUCUUCUCCAUAUGGAGGCCGAAAUUAGCAUGGGGGAAGCCAUGGCUAGGGUUUUCAAGCUUUCCAAGCUUAACAAUCAAGAAAAACGAUAUUCAAGUCGUGAUCGAGGGAAAAACAAAGUUUACAAGGAAUAGGCCUGAUUGCUAAUAUUUUGUAUCGAGUGUUGUCAGGUUAGCUCAGGGUUCGAGAUCGUCGGAGGCAGCAUCACACCUUGACAGUAUAAACACAUAUGCUAGAUUUAUCAAGUGAGUGGCAUGUAUAGGGACCUAAUUUUAUAACAUGUGUUAUUAUUAUUUGGCCAAAUAUAUUGGUCUUUAGUGAGCUACUGAUUCUGACUUAUAAAUCUAGCUAUUUAUGUUAUGUUUGAUA